rnacentral:rRNA from 1 species
CGGUGAAACUGCGAAUGGCUCAUUAAAUCAGUUAUCGUUUAUUUGAUAGUACCUUACUACAUGGAUAACCGUGGUAAUUCUAGAGCUAAUACAUGCUAAAAACCUCGACUUCGGAAGGGGUGUAUUUAUUAGAUAAAAAACCAAUGCCCUUCGGGGCUCCUUGGUGAAUCAUAAUAACUUAACGAAUCGCAUGGCCUUGCGCCGGCGAUGGUUCAUUCAAAUUUCUGCCCUAUCAACUUUCGAUGGUAGGAUAGUGGCCUACCAUGGUAUCAACGGGUAACGGGGAAUUAGGGUUCGACUCCGGAGAGGGAGCCUGAGAAACGGCUACCACAUCCAAGGAAGGCAGCAGGCGCGCAAAUUACCCAAUCCCGACACGGGGAGGUAGUGACAAUAAAUACUGAUACAGGGCUCUUUUGGGUCUUGUAAUUGGAAUGAGUACAAUUUAAAUCCCUUAACGAGGAACAAUUGGAGGGCAAGUCUGGUGCCAGCAGCCGCGGUAAUUCCAGCUCCAAUAGCGUAUAUUAAAGUUGUUGCAGUUAAAAAGCUCGUAGUUGAACCUUGGGCCUGGCUGGCCGGUCCGCCUCACCGCGUGUACUGGUCCGGCCGGGCCUUUCCUUCUGGGGAACCUCAUGCCCUUCACUGGGCGUGUUGGGGAACCAGGACUUUUACUUUGAAAAAAUUAGAGUGUUCAAAGCAGGCCUUUGCUCGAAUACAUUAGCAUGGAAUAAUAGAAUAGGACGUGUGGUUCUAUUUUGUUGGUUUCUAGGACCGCCGUAAUGAUUAAUAGGGAUAGUCGGGGGCAUCAGUAUUCAAUCGUCAGAGGUGAAAUUCUUGGAUUGAUUGAAGACUAACUACUGCGAAAGCAUUUGCCAAGGAUGUUUUCAUUAAUCAGUGAACGAAAGUUAGGGGAUCGAAGACGAUCAGAUACCGUCGUAGUCUUAACCAUAAACUAUGCCGACUAGGGAUCGGACGGUGUUAGUAUUUUGACCCGUUCGGCACCUUACGAGAAAUCAAAGUUUU